rnacentral:rRNA from 1 species
GACGGAGGAUGCAAGUGUUAUCCGGAAUCACUGGGCGUAAAGCGUCUGUAGGUGGUUUAAUAAGUCAACUGUUAAAUCUUGAGGCUCAACCUCAAAAUCGCAGUCGAAACUAUUAGGCUAGAGUAUAGUAGGGGUAAAGGGAAUUUCCAGUGGAGCGGUGAAAUGCGUAGAUAUCGGGAGGAACACCAGUGGCGAAGGCGACUACCUGGCCUGUUCUUGACGCUGAGGCGCGAAAGCUAGGGGAGCAAACGGG